GAAAACACAGGGUGGAUAAAAAUAAAGGAUAAAUAUAAACAGCUAGGAGUAAACAGACACUUCAGAACCACUUGUGAAUUAUCAAGAUGAGAAAACCAAGUUCAUCAUCCCAUAAUAUCAGUCAGCUGGUGGGUAGGUGCAUAAUCUAAACAGUGGAGCACUGCAGACACAGAUUAAGUGAUUUCUUUAAAGCACACAAGAUUUGUGACACCUAAGAACUGAAUCUUCAAUCCUAGAACCAGUUAAAACAUGUGUGUGUAAUGGAAGAGCAGUUCCACCACUUAAGGAAGCUGGAAGCUCCGU